rnacentral:lncRNA from 1 species
AUUGAGGGGAUGCUCGGUUGCGGGGAGCGUCAGGCCUUCCCUAUAUGAUAGGGAUGGGACAGAAGGAGAGCGUGCGGGACACCGGCUCAUCUCUUUCCAGGGUCGUUCUAGGGUGGCAGGGCCCGCCAGGGGCGGCCUUUGCGCAUGCGCUGUGUGUUAGGGCCCGCCUUUGAGCUGGAGGAAGGGACUGGUCUCUAUUGUCCCCUCAGGACCUCUGGGUAUCUCUCAGAACCCUUCUGAGCCGACCGCGCCCAAAGGCCUCCGUUCUGAGCUGACCACGACAACACCACAGCCACGAUUUGGUGACAGACACACUUCUCAGUGAUUUGCACGGCUAGCUCAUCCGGACGACAACGUAUGGAUAGGUCCUCCUGGUCCUUUGGGAGAAACCUGAGACAAGAGUUGGCCAUCCUGGCGGCUCUGCAGGAUUUUUCGGAAAAGGUUUUCCAAAAUGGUUGGUUGUGUGCAGGGUGCACGCAAGUUCCAUCCCCAGGACUACAAAAGCAAGGAUAUAUAUAGUGCAUGUAUAGUGUAUAAACUUUUCAUAGGAUUUCAAGAUAAAGUCUAUGGAAAAUAAGUCGGGUUAAGACCAAUUCCUGAAGACGUUUUUUUAUAAUAAUAGCAUUGUAAGCAUAAGACUACAAGUAGUAAAAUGAUAAAAGAGCCCAGAGGUUAUCCCUAUACAUUUAGGGGGCCUCCCUAUAUAUGUUUUUCUGCAUUCUCUGGUUCUUGGUAUGCG